UGUGACCGUAGCGUCGGCACCUCUUCGGCGCCCUGUCAGGAUGACACCACCGAGUCUCUAAGGGACUCGGAAAACGCGACUUUAUGUCACGAGAUUCGCGAGCGGUAGCGUGUGAGCGCUUGGAUUCGGAGUAGAGGUGAGGAGAGAGACGAGGAAGUGACUUACUCGGACUCCCUAUUUUCUAACAAAAAUUCCAUUUUAUUAAUAAACAAAGAAAAUACAGAGAUAUCGGGCAUAUUAUCGGACUUAAUUAUACUAUUCCGUUCGAGAGAGAGAGUUUACAACUGAAUCGCGGGUUGAUAAAUACCUUUCUUUUUCCUAGGUCGCAGAUCUGUAGUAUGAUGACACUCUUGACUCCUCUGAAAUGGUCUUUCCACUAGUUCUUGUCCGUUAAUUGGAUCUCGGAGGUGUGGAAGCACGGAAGUGGGAAUUGUAAUAUAUACCUGCUGAAGAGGGGCCAUCGGGUCCGAAACACGAACAAAGAGUGUACAGUACAGGUGAAAAACCAGG